AACCUGGUUGGGUGGUCUGCCUUCACGGUACGUACUGCUUGGCCGGGUUCUACCUCUUGGUGAGCCGGCAUGCCCUUCACUGGGUGUGUCGGGGAACCAGGACUUUUACCUUGAGAAAAUUAGAGUGCUCAAAGCAGGCAUUUUGCUUGAAUAUAUUAGCAUGGAAUAAUGGAAUAGGAC
rnacentral:rRNA from 1 species